rnacentral:rRNA from 1 species
CCUACGGGAGGCAGCAGUGAGGUAUAUUGGUCAAUGGACGAGAGUCUGAACCAGCCAAGUAGCGUGAAGGAUGACUGCCCUAUGGGUUGUAAACUUCUUUUAUAUGGGAAUAAAACGUUCCACGUGUGGGAUUUUGUAUGUACCAUAUGAAUAAGGAUCGGCUAACUCCGUGCCAGCAGCCGCGGUAAUACGGAGGAUCCGAGCGUUAUCCGGAUUUAUUGGGUUUAAAGGGAGCGUAGGUGGAUUGUUAAGUCAGUUGUGAAAGUUUGCGGCUCAACCGUAAAAUUGCAGUUGAAACUGGCAGUCUUGAGUACAGUAGAGGUGGGCGGAAUUCGUGGUGUAGCGGUGAAAUGCUUAGAUAUCACGAAGAACUCCGAUUGCGAAGGCAGUUCACUGGACUGCAACUGACACUGAGGCUCGAAAGUGUGGGUAUCAAACAGGAUUAGAUACCCCUGUAGUC